rnacentral:rRNA from 1 species
AUUGAACGCUGGCGGCAGGCCUAACACAUGCAAGUCGAGCGGAUGAAGGGAGCUUGCUCCUGGAUUCAGCGGCGGACGGGUGAGUAAUGCCUAGGAAUCUGCCUGGUAGUGGGGGAUAACGUCCGGAAACGGGCGCUAAUACCGCAUACGUCCUGAGGGAGAAAGUGGGGGAUCUUCGGACCUCACGCUCUCAGAUGAGCCUAGGUCGGAUUAGCUAGUUGGUGGGGUAAAGGCCUACCAAGGCGACGAUCCGUAACUGGUCUGAGAGGAUGAUCAGUCACACUGGAACUGAGACACGGUCCAGACUCCUACGGGAGGCAGCAGUGGGGAAUAUUGGACAAUGGGCGAAAGCCUGAUCCAGCCAUGCCGCGUGUGUGAAGAAGGUCUUCGGAUUGUAAAGCACUUUAAGUUGGGAAGAAGGGCAGUAAGUUAAUACCUUGCUGUUCUGACGUUACCAACAGAAUAAGCACCGGCUAACUUCGUG